CUGGUCUUGAACUCCUGACCUCGUGAUCCACCCACCUCGACCUCCCAAAGUGCUGGGAUUACAGGCGUGAGGCACUAUACCAGGCAGGGAUACGGUUUUUCAAACUGCUUCUAAGAGAGGUGGACCCAGAAAGCCUCUGACCUGCACCGGAGGCUCUUGGCAGACCUGGACUGUUUCAGAAAUGCAUUCUUGGGCCCCACACCAGACAGGCCUAGUCGGGAACUCUGGGGAACGCAGCACUCUGGCCUCUAACAGCCAAGCCUUCUGGGUGAUUCUGACACAUAUCGAAUCUGGGAAUCACUAGGCCUCUGCCUUGUCUUCAGACUGGGAGUGACUAAGACCAGAAAGCCAACCGCCUGCCCUCCAACCGCCUGCCCUCCAACCGCCAGCCCUCCAACCGCCAGCCCUCCAACCGCCUGCCCUCCAAUAGCCAGCCCUCCAACCGCCUGCCCUCCAAUCGCCAGCCCUCCCGGCUUCCAUCUCCUCCCAGCUACCUGCAGUGCCACCAGGUUUAUCACCUUAGAGCAUCCACAGCCACAGUUACCCAGAGAGAAGAGAAGGAGGAGACACAGGGCUUGGGGACGAAGGCAUUCAAACAGGCAGGUCCUCCCACGGGAAUCCCAUGACGGCCGACUCCACGACCACUUCCCCAGCAUGACUAGAUUUCCUGCAGCUUCGAAAUGCAAACAUUGCCUCAGACAAAAGCUAAAAUUGUUACAGUCAGAACCGAAACCACGAGUGAGAAGGGGCUCUGCUCCCAGUACCCACAGCCACGGGGAGCCACCGACCAGCAUGUCUUACCAUUGUUCACCUGGCCGUGGACCGCAGUGGGGACUGAUGCCACAAAAUCAAACAUGACUGUUAUUGGUGCCCCGACAAAGACAGAGAAGGCAAAGCUUUGCCAACUGCUCUCAGAAUUUUAAGUGUGAAGUAGAAGGUAGAUUCUGAGACUAGGACUGAAGAAAAGCAAACCCACACGAUGGUAAUAUAAAACCCUCAAGCAGUGCAAAUGGCAAUCCCAGCCACUGCCUGAGAAGGACGACUUCCCCUCUCGCUGUUCUACCAGGACCAGUCCUCCUAAGCGGGGACUCAGAAAGAGCUACCCCACGCAGCAUCCGAGUCUGAAGAACAGACAACAGUCAACAAGCCCCGAAGUGAAGGCUGUGGCUGUACUGACUGAUGUGGAGUCAUUUAAUUUGCAUGCUCUUAGGAGGAAAGAAGGUUAGCACAGUGGGAAUGUGGAAGCAGAAAAGGUGACUUUGGGGCCAUACUCCAGCCAUGUGAGCAGAAGAACGUGACACGGGCCAGAAGCCCUGCCCCUGCGUCACCACCACCAUCACUUACGAGACGCAAAGUAAGUCUGUGGAAUUGGGGAGCUGCUAUUUUCUGUCCUGAAAACGUAAAAGAACCCAGUUCGCAGCAUCAGAAUAGAUUCUAACCUAUUUUAUUCUCCAAUCCAUCUCCCUGACAACAACUCCAAGGGCAAAUGAAGAAAGAUUACUUGUGAUUUGCCAGCCAACAAGACUCCAGAAAAUAUGAGGAAUUAAUGAGACAUUUAAUGUAGACACAAAUAGAAUAAAGUAACUAUGUUUCUAAGGUAAUUUAAGGCUGUUGUAAUUUGAUCAAACCCAGGAUGGAUGUUCCUUCAUUCUGUUGCUACAUGUAUUAAAACCACAUUGACUGGACUCUAAUGAUUCAGAAAUUUUAAAGCUUUCAGAGAAAACGUGGGCUGUUAUUCUUUAACGCUAAACAUGAAGAAAAGGAUUUGCAAUUCUGAGCAAUUACCUUUCCCCCAAAGGCUUUCCAAAUUGAGCGUCUGCUGAAAAUCAGCCCUCCCUGAGCACCAGCUCCCUCCCUUCCGGGGCUCUCCUCUGUGCCUUCCUGCAGCCUUCCUAAGCAGACCUCACGUUUCUCAAGGACGGUUUGUCUGUUUCCUCACCCAGCCCUGAGUGCGCUCCCGUGUGCACUCUGCACAGUAAGGACGUGUACAGAAACUGAGGAGAAGGAACAGGACAAGUUCCUUUCAGAGGAUGGGUCUAAUGUCCAGGAACGCUUCCAAAAGUGCAAGGGUGAGGGUGAGUCCAGAGUACAGUCCUCCCUUUAAAAGAGAUCAAGUGACGGGUGCGGUGGCUCACGCCUGUAAUCCCAGCACUUUGGGAGGCCGAGGCGGGUGGAUCACUUGAGGUCAGGAG
rnacentral:lncRNA from 1 species